AUUGAACGCUGGCGGCAUGCCUUACACAUGCAAGUCGAACGGUAACGGGCCUUCGGGUGCCGACGAGUGGCGAACGGGUGAGUACAACAUCGGAACGUGCCCAAUAGUGGGGGAUAACGUAGCGAAAGUUACGCUAAUACCGCAUGAGACCUAAGGGUGAAAGCGGGGGAUCUUCGGACCUCGCGCUAAUGGAACGGCCGAUGGCUGAUUAGCUAGUUGGUGAGGUAAAGGCUCACCAAGGCGAACAUCAGUAGCUGGUCUGAGAGGACGACCAGCCACACUGGGACUGAGACACGGCCCAGACUCCUACGGGAGGCAGCAGCGGGGAAUUUUGGACAAUGGGGGCAACCCUGAUCCAGCAAUGCCGCGUGAGUGAAGAAGGCCUUCGGGUUGUAAGGCUCUUUUAUUUGGAAAGAAAGCCUGGGUUUGAAUAGAGCCUGGGGAUGACGGUACCAGAUGAAUAAGCACCGGCUAACUACGUGCCAGCCGCCGCCGUAAG
rnacentral:rRNA from 1 species